rnacentral:rRNA from 1 species
AUGAAGCUGGAUUCGCUAGUAAUCGCGCAUCAGCCACGGCGCGGUGAAUACGUUCCCGGGCCUUGUACACACCGCCCGUCAAGCCAUGGGAGCCGGGAGCGCUUGAAGUGCGUCGCCGCGAGGCGCGCCCUAGGGUAAAACUGGUGACUGGGGCUAAGUCGUAACAAGGUACC